CACAGAUUAAGUAGGGUUUUGAUCUUUAGGGUGGCUCCACAAAUCCCAAAUAGCAUUCCUUUUAAAAAAUCAGUUUGUCAUGGCCAGUAAGCACUGGACUGACCUGGAUAAGAUGUGGCCAAAUUUAGACCCCAUAGAUGGAUCUGAAUGUUGUUAAAUAUUUGAUGUUUUGUUUCCAAAUUUCAAAGGCAGGCACUUCACAUUGAGACUUUUGCAGAUGCUUUCCUCUCCUUACCCUUGUGAGCUGAGAUGAAUCUUCCUGUGGAUUUAUCUUGCCUUAGGCAUUUUAGCAUUAUUGAAGUGGAAUAUGCAUGUGUUGCUAUGGUCAAUAUGUUCUGAUUUAAUAAUCAGAACAACCAAGGCAUAUUUCUUUUCUAUAUCUUUUACUCUGUGGAUGCCUCAUGAUUAUGAAUCAUAAUGAUGAAGUUAUAUUUGAUCAUAUUUAUAUCCAUUUAUAUUUUGAAAUGAUGAUGUCCAUUUGUCUUUCUUAUUCAGUGACGAUAAAAUAGUUGAUUGAAAGCAAGUGUGUAAGAAUGCUUAAUUUGCAUAUUAUCUCAAUGCCAUCAAGUUAUUUCACUUUCCUCUCCAAGGAUCCUCCCUUAUGACAGGAAAGAGUUUGAGAGAAGUUCCUGCUGAGCAGCAUUUCUGAAUGAGAAGCCAAUAAUAUCUACAAAUAAUCAGGUCAUUUGAAUCCUGCAAGAAAACCACUGUGGGACUAUAUCAUCUAACAAGCAUCUUAAAUUCUGAUUUACUAUCCCUGUUCUGAAGGAAUUCCAGCUCUUCAGAAAGACACUCUGUAAGAAAACAGAAAUCUGAUUCAGAUGUGGGAGCUUCUUGCCAGGGAUAUCUUCAGUUGAACAGAUAAGAGAUUACAUGUAAACUACCUUAAAUCUCAAAGAAGACACAGCAAACUGUAACUUUCCUACUAGGAUAAAAGAUCUCUUUCACUUUUGAGACUGAAAAAAAAUGACUUCUUUAACUGGAGAAGGGGAAAAUAAUGUGACUACCUCUGGCCAAAGCACUGAAUUCCACUUCAAGACCCACCUUUUCCCUCAGCUACAAUGACUGGCACUGUUUUAUAAAGUGGUUGUUUUAUCAGCCUGGGAUCUGGCACAAGGACAGUGAUGAUCAGAGGCCCAGCUGAGCCUCAAGCACACAUAACAUGCAUUUUCAACUCCAAGCCCCUGAGAUUUGGGAGCUGCCUAUUAAGAAGCGUAACCUAUUCCAUCCUGACUAUUUCACAGAGGGAACAGUUAAAAGAAUAAUGAGAUAUUAUUUCAAAUAAGGAAAUUAUGGAGAAGUUUAAAUGACAGGCAAACAUAUUUGAAGUUUAUUAAAUAAAAAGUCAGUAGGAAAUUAUUGAAGCUUUGUGAAGAGGGAAAGCAAUUAGUCAAUGGAGAGUUUUAAAAUCAGUGUGGUCACAGCAGUAGGACAAAUUAAAGAAGGAAAGAACAGAGAUAUGAAGACUAACUAGUUAACAGUCCAUUGCAAAAUCCCAGUGAAAAAUGGUAAGCUCUCUGAACAGAGAAUGAUUGAAAAUUGAAGAAGAGAGAGGGAACAGUGAGAAAUGAAUCUAGCAUUUCAAGCCUGAGUACCUGGGAGAAAUGUAGGACUAUAAAUAACAGAUAUAGAAUAGCGCAAUUAAGAGGACUGUCUAUUUCUGUUGAUAAUAGUAUCAUUUUCUUAAAUUUGUUUUGACAAAAAUUAUUUUAGAUAUGUCAGGUUUGGGGUGACAGACAGUGAGUCAGAUAUGUUGAUGUAUCCAACAGGAAAGCAGAGAUAUGGAAAUACAGAAAAGUUCAAAAGUCAGUGGUAAAGAAUUGGACCUGGUAGCCAUCUGCGUACGGGCUGGCUUGGGUAGUUGUCUAGAAGUGGUGAUGUUAUCCAAGAUAGAAACUGCACAAUGAGAAACAGUUGCGGGGUUGUAUCCAUCAGGGUUUAGUGUAGAAAACAGAAUUUACAGAUGAGGAACUGCUCUUUCCACCCUGCAGUAAGGGCACUGCUGCCAACAUCACAUCUGGGGCAUUCAGAGCGCCUGAUGCCAGAAGUUUUGUCUGCUGGAGCUGCUUUUCUGCCCACAGCACUAUAAAAAAGAAUCACCUCCGUUUUCCAAAUAGUUCGUGAGUGCAUUUCAUUGGCACAACCUUAAUCACAUCCAGGACCCUAGCCACAAAAUGUCUUUAAAACAUAGUGUUUAGACUAAUAGCCCCUAUAAUAUUAUGUUAAUGGUGGAAGAGUGUAGGAACAUACAAAGGAGAUACAAAUGGAUGCUGAUUGCAAGUAGACAAUGCAAAGUCCCCAUGGGACAUCAAAGUAGAGAAAUCUAACAUCCCUUAGGUAAAUUAAAAAUGAAAUUCUGGGACCUUAGAGAAAGAUGGGGAAAUAUCAACAUUUAGAUCAGGGGUGUCCAAUUUUUUGACUUCCCUGGGCCACUUUGAAAAAAUUGUCUUGGACCACACAUAAACUACGCUAACACUAACAAUAGCUGAUGAGCUAAAAAAAAAAAUCACAAAAAAAGUCUUAUAAUGUUUUAAGAAAGUUUACGAAUUUGUAUUGGGCAGCAUUCAAAGCCAUCCUGGGCCGCAUGCACCCCACAGGUCGUGGGUUGGACAAACUUCACUUAGAUGAUAAGUUGAAGCCGUGGAACUAAUUGAGAUUGUUUAGAGAGAGGAUUUAGAUCAUUUGAGGUGUUAAAUCCCCAUCCUGGUGACCACAGUGUUUAAAAAGAAAGCCUAUGUUUAAAAGGCAGGAAGAAAAAGCUGCAUCAAGGGAAAUUUGCUCCAUAUCAGGCUUUAGUAGCCCAUUUCUGACAAGGAAUUUCCUAAUACUGUACUUAAAAUACCGUAGAUUAACCCUAUGUAGUGAAUUAAAAGAAGAACAUGUGAAGGUGUAUGUGGUUUGAAACAGGAAGAACUGAAUGGAGCUGAUAACCAGUUAGAAUUAACCAGUUAAAAUAUAGUAAUGUAUACAAUUUCCCAGUGUGAAUGUAAAUAUGCCAUGCAUGUUACCUGAAAAUUAAUAUUAAGCUCUGAUAAGAUUCUUAUUUCUAAAAGUUGACACUGUUGUAUUGCCUUUAAAUUUGAAGGUGAGGUAUAAAAUUAAAACCUAUACUAUUUUUUCAUAGUUUUCCACUUGGACCAAUUUCACAACUAAAUUGUUUUUUGAAAAAGUACUUUUUAAAUGAGCACUUAUUCUGUUCAAACAGUAUUAGGCAUUAUGUGGGAUCCAAAGAUAAGACAUUGUCCCUCCUGUCAAAUGCACCAAAAUUGAUUAAAUUAAGAUGUAACUUGGGGUCAUGCUUAUUGCUAGAGCAAUUUUUUCAUUUUUCCUUCUUAUUUUCAGAGAGAAUAAAGUCUCCUUCUACUGAGGUAAUAGCUACCACAAAGAUUUUAUAACUUAAACUGUUUUGUAAUAAUUUUUAUUUCUCUAUA
rnacentral:lncRNA from 10 species